rnacentral:lncRNA from 1 species
GUGGCAAAGGGCAGCGACGACACAUGGGCAAGGGUCAGAAUACCUAGGUGGCUAGGGUUUCCUUUUUUUUGAUUUGGUGUUGGGUUGUAGUAGGGUUUAAUUGGGUAUUGGGCUAGGUUUAGAUUUGGGCCUUUUGGGUCUGGACUGUUUAUUUUAUUUUUUUGUUUUUGUUUUGGCACUAGGUCCGGGAAAAUUUGGGCUUGUACAGCUGCCCCUCUUUGCUCGUUGUCGUGUAACGAGAAUAGAGCAAAGACCAAGAAAGACCAAAUUUCCUGGUCUCACCGAGUCUUGACUUCUUGGUGCCUUUCUUCUUCAGAUAGCCUUCUCGCAGUCCACUG